AGCGAACGCUGGCGGCAGGCCUAACACAUGCAAGUCGAACGAACCCUUCGGGGUUAGUGGCGGACGGGUGAGUAACACGUGGGAACGUGCCUUUAGGUUCGGAAUAACUCAGGGAAACUUGUGCUAAUACCGAAUGUGCCCUUCGGGGGAAAGAUUUAUCGCCUUUAGAGCGGCCCGCGUCUGAUUAGCUAGUUGGUGAGGUAAUGGCUCACCAAGGCUACGAUCAGUAGCUGGUCUGAGAGGAUGACCAGCCACAUUGGGACUGAGACACGGCCCAAACUCCUACGGGAGGCAGCAGUGGGGAAUCUUGCGCAAUGGGCGAAAGCCCGACGCAGCCAUGCCGCGUGGAUGAUGAAGGUCUUAGGAUUGUAAAAUCCUUUCACCGGUGAAGAUAAUGACUGUAGCCGGAGAAGAAGCCCCGGCUAACUUCGUGCCAGCCGCCGCUGUAAUAC
rnacentral:rRNA from 1 species